CUUGGGUGAAAAACAUUUAUGGUUAGGACAUGCGUCUGGGUCUGGAGCCUGGCUGCCCUGGGAUCCCCACAUCACAUAUGUGAUUAUAAACUCUAUGAAGGCAGAGAUGCUUCUAAUCUUAAACCCCGCUAAAACUCCAGCAUUCAGCAGCGCUCCUGGCAUAUAGGGGGUAUUCAGUAAUUGGUUGUUGAAUGAAUGAAUGAAAGUCCUGUCUGUUUUAAGGUAAAUUUUUUUAAUGUUUAUUUAUUUUUGAGAGAGACAGAGCGUGAGUGGUGGGGGGCAGAGAGAGAGGGGGCCACAGAAUCUGAAGCAGGCUCCAGGCUCUGAGCUGUCAGCACAGAACCUGACGCAGGGCUCGAACUCAUGAACUGUGAGAUCAUGACCUGAGCUGAAGUCGGACGCUCAACCAACUGAGUCACCCAGGCAGCCCUGCUUUAAGUCUGGACCAUACUUCUUGCUGGCACUGGAGAAGCAAACAUAUACAUGAAACACAAUCUCUGUCUCACUGGAAGAAGAAAAAGAAGAAGAGGAGGUCCGAUGACUUCAUAUGAAUUAACUCAAUUAAUCCUCACAGCAAUCCUACAAGAUAGGCGAAUUUUUAUCCCCAUUUUACAGAUGAAACAACCAAGAUUAAGUUCUUUGCCCAAGAUCAUGUCAUUGCUAAGUACUUAAUGGCUCUGGGGUCCAUGAACUGUAUCACUGUGUUAGGUUUCCUCUCUGAAAACACAGUGUUCUGUACCACAGAUUCUAAAAAGCAUAUAAGGGGCGCCUGGGUGGCGCAGUUGGUUGGGCGUCCGACUUCAGCCAGGUCACGAUCUUGCGGUCCGUGAGUUCGAGCCCCGCGUCAGGCUCUGGGCUGAUGGCUCGGAGCCUGGAGCCUGUUUCCGAUUCUGUGUCUCCCUCUCUCUCUGCCCCUCCCCCGUUCAUGCUCUGUCUCUCUCUGUCCCAAAAAUAAAUAAAAAACGUUGAAAAAAAAAUUAAAAAAAAAAAAAAAAAUAAAUAAAUAAGCAUAUAAAAUGAACUGUUUUGUUCAUUUCUUCCACAAAUACUUACUGAGCUCUAACUAUGUUCUAGGCAGUAGACUAGCCUAGGGGGGAUAAAAGGUAGCAAGAAAGACAUGUGGUUCUAUCCUUGAGAAGCUGACGGUCGCAAAGCAAAUAAAUCCAAGGACGCCAACCAAUUCAAACGUUAUAAACCAAUUCAGUUCCUCCAACCUGGGAUGGAGGGAAACAGCAGGGGAAUUUUCUCUAGAUGUGGUGGACAGGAAGGUCUGCCUGACACGUUAGCUAAGACCUGAAGGAAGAGAUGGAGCUGAGCUGAAGGCAAGAGCAUCUGGGAUGGGGAAUGGGUGGUUUUGAGCCACUGAAAGCAGAGAGAAGAACAGCGAGAGGUGAGUUGGAGAGGUGGGUAUCCGGCCAUGCGGGGCCUCAGGGGUGAUAGUGAGUAGUUGUGAUUUCAUGCUGAAGGCAGCAGACAGCCACGAAGAGCUUUAAGUGGGAGCGUAACGAAUGGUGUGACCUGAUCUCUUUUUAGAAAGCACUUCUGCUUCAUGGGGAUGGAUUACAAGAAGCAGAGACCUUGUGGAGAGACCCAGUAAGAGACUCCUGUAACAUUCCAGGUGGUAAUGAGUUCACUCUGGAGGGGGCAGCGUAGAUGAAAAGUAGGUGAAUUUGAGAUAUGCUGUGCUGGUAGAAUCAACAGACGUGAUAAUAAAUUGGAUACGGAAGAGUGGAAGGGGCUACAAGGGAACACGAAGAGUCAAGGUUGAGUCCUAAAGCUUUGGGGAGGACGGUGGUUCCAUUUCCUGAGAUAAGACAGUGUGUGCGUGUGUGCGUGCGUGCGUGUGUUGGGUGAGAGGGAGAGUUACAGAGAGAUGCAGUCCAGUCUUGUGCUUCAGAUCCAUGAUGUCAUCACAUCUCAGCCUCCUUCCAUCCUCCUGCUUUGCCAUCUAGUGUGUGGCUUGCAUUCUCAUGGUCCCAAGAUGGCUGCAAUCCUUCCAGCCCAUAUCCAUGUUUGCAACAGGAAGAUGGAAAAGGAAGCAAGCAACAUGGAAGAAAGUAGUGACCCUUCUCUGAAAGAAAACUUUCCUUGAAAUCCCCCACAGACUUCUGCUUAUAUCUCCUUGGCCAAAAUUCUGUCCCAAGGCUAGCCUUUGUUGCAAGGGAUGCUGGGAAAUGCGGCUUUAUAAUGGAGUGAGGUCUCCAUUCUUCAUGAGUGAGCAAACUGCAUCACAAGUGCUGGCAAACCCGGGGCUGUCCUAUUUCUGAUGAUAAAGAAUCUUCCAUUUGUGAAAAGGAAAGACCAACCUUCUGUCAUCGACCUCCUUGCCACCUCCCAAGAGCAUCCCUCAGUACCAGAACUUCUCUCUUUUUCAAGUGACCACGUCACGCAGAAGCAUUGCCAUCAGGCUUGGUAUUCUGCCACCAAGCUCAUACCAAAUAUCCUGAGAGGUUGGCUUAGUCCAAUUGAGUGCCACUUUUAUCUUACAAACUGCCUCGUGAUUCUUGGAAGGGAAGCAAUACCAGAUUUAGCUAUGGGAGAGUCUCCUCAUCAGGGUCCCCAGGGCAGUCUAGGUGACCCAGGCGUGUGAGCCAGCCAUCCCCAAUAUGUGUCUCUGGGAUGCUGAAGCCUUUAUUCCCUGUGCAUUGUAGGGCCCCUCUACCUGAGCCGAGAAGAGAAUUCCCUGGCAGAAAGCAGAGGCCUGUCUAGAAGCUGUGGCCCAUUAGCCUUGUACAAAGAUAGACUGUGCUCUGCUGGAAUCUAAUCUGGAAGCGUUUAAUACAUUUGCAGCACACGUGCCAGCUGCUUAGGAGGAGGGAUGGUCAGUUUUUUCUCUAAAAGAGAAACUUCAAGCUGAAUAUAAAUCAGCCUUCUCAAUAUGCCCAUCAUACCUGACACUGAAAAGAGUCUUCAGUGAGGGGAAUUGUGGUCUCUGGGGAAGAACCUUGGCCAACAACGAAGAGAAAGAGAAGGAAGAGACCAAAAAAAAAAAGGAAGGAGAGGCUCUCAUUGUGUUGAAUCAGAAACCACUUUUUCUCUGGAAGAAAUUCAGCAAGUGAGUGUCUUGUCAACUUACUCGAGUGAAAACAGGGGCAAUUAAGACAGGACAAACCAUCCCCAAACGCUCAAGUUUGGGAUUCGUUGAACAUCUCAAGCUAUUUUCCAAAUGUUUGGGGUUUGGCACAGUCCGGGCUCAUGGUUGGGAAAUUUUCCUGAAGAUCUGUCUGAAUGGCCCUAUUUUUAUUCCAUCCCCUUGCAGUUAAUAUCCGGCUAACUCAUUCGCUCCAUGUUUUGUACUGGCUACACGUUGGAUAUCUUCAGACACUACACGCGUCUGUUCCCCUUCAUGUGGUUCACCGAAAUCUCAGGAUAUCGUCUUCCUGCCAUUUGUGUCUCUUUGUCCACCAUCCUCGGGGAUUGGGAGAUGGUGGCAAGGACAGAAACGGGCCCACGUCACGUGCAGCGCUGCACAAGGAUUCCAAAAACGUUUCUCAAAGCCUCAGGAGGUGCAAGAGCUGACUGCACAGUUUUGAAAAGAUUGCAUACGGAGAGGGAUUGAAUUUAUUCUCUCUGGCCCCAGAGGGGUGGAACUAGGACCAGAGACAUCUGUGGGCUCACUACAAGAAGGAACUUCUCAUUUCAGAGCAGCCAGAAGGACAAAGAGCUGUGUUGUCUUCGGCAGAAGACGUGGGUCUCCAUCCGAGGUUCGUAAUGGUCCUCCAUUAAUUUUUGGAGACUGAAAAAUGUAUCAAUAAAGGUAUUCAACUAUAGACAAUGGUUGGAUCGAACGA